AUUAACAUUUACUGUUUUUUACAUUGGUAACUUAAUUGGCUGCUAAAUUUUAGAAGAUAAACUCUGAAUGUUUAUGACUAAAAUUAGAAAUACUUAAAAACGUUAUUUAAAACAAAUGCAAUGUAAUGAUGAAAUUCACUGACUGUAUAGUAAAUAUGUUGCCAAAUAUAUAGAAAUGCCCACAAAAUAAUAUUUUAAAAAUAUUCUAAGCUUACUCUUCAUCUGUAUUCUAAAUUUGAUUCCAUAAUUUGAGAUACAAAAAUUCAUGAUUUUAAUAUAAAAUCUGAAGAGUAAUAUUCAUGACCAUAUACUUACAUAUGAUCUCUCUAAAUAUAUAGUAGUAAUAUUAACAAUUAAUAAACUCUAUAAUGCAAUACUUUGUAUUAAAGAGGAUGAUUGAGUUUAAAUAGCUUUGUUCUUACUUAUACUUUACUUCCUUGGGAAACAAGUGACCUUAUAUCCAAACCCUCUGAAGCAAAGCAUUGAAAUAAAAUGUUUUUAAUGCUGUGAUGAGAAUUUAAAUGUCACAGAGUGCUAUUGACAUACAUGUAAGAUCAAAAGAGGAAGUGUGUUAUGACAGAUAAAUCAAGAUAGUAGAAAAUUCUGUUAAGGUCUAAACUCAAAGUAUCAUAACUAAAAACAUAUAGUGGCAUUUUCAUGUAUUCUGGGCACACAAAUCAGCUACAAUUGGCCAAAAUGUUACAUAAUGAAAGCCAGCAAAUAACAUUUUUUUCCUCAAAAAUAGUAGACUGUGGCAUUAUACAUGACAUUUAGAAAAGCUUCUUAUUGUAGCUGUUUCUAUCAAUAUUCCUAUAACAAUUGAUUUAAAGAUUGUAUUUAUUUUGUACUUCAAACUUCCUUCAACUGGUAAAAUAGAAACUAUAAAAGAUCCCCUACCUAUGGGUCAAAUUACUUACCCCAAAUGAUUGAGUAAAUUUGCAACCAAGCUGAAAUUAGAACUUUUAAUUAUAAUUUAAAAGAUAUUUGAAAUUGAAUGGACCCAAUCAUAGAAAAUUUUAUAUUUAGCUCCUCAACACACUAAAGUUCCCUUUUUGGGCCAUAGGAUCAUAGCUGACUGCUAUCUUUUAGAACCUUGCUACCCUGUGUGUGGUCCACUGAGCAGCAGCAUCAACAUCCAUGCAGAAAUACAGGAUCUCAGGCUCUAGCCCAUACUUACUGAAUCAGUUUGCCUUCUAACAAGAUCCUCAGUGAUUUAUAUGCCCAUUGGAAUUGGAGAAGCACGAUUUCAAACAUCAUUAUAUAUUUCCUCAGUUUUUUUCUUACAGGCAAUAGGUGUGAACUACUUACUAAGGUGGACUGCAAUAAAAAAAUUAACUUUGUCAUAAAAUGUCGAAUAUUCAUUAGUGUAUUUAUACAUGUAUGAGUCUGAGAAAGCCGGACUCCAAAGAGUGAACUAUGCAAUACAUAUUUUUUUUUCUAAUAACAUAUUGAUUUUUGUUACAGAUAAAGAUUUAAAACUAUCCAAAUACUGCAUUAAAGUGGCAAAGUGCUUAUGAGAGAUAAGGUAUCAGAGCUGAAUUUCUGCUUUUAUCACCAUUGAGGGAUACAGCAUUCUCAAAUGCAUCCGGUAUCAUUAUCUGACUAGAAAAUUCUUGCUCAAAUCAUUGUUCAACAGAAUACUGUUUAGAUCUUAUUUACAGUUUCCAAUUGGACUUUACGCAAGAAACUCUUGUAGGCUUUAAAUUCCACACAAAGGCACAAUCACAUAAUCAUGACUCUUCUUCCUCAAAUAUUAAGUCAUUAUUUGUUUAUGACCUAAUGUCAUUCAUUAGUUCUGUUUCAUUAAAAAAAUGCAUAUUACUGAAGAAAUAUGUUUAUCAAAGAAAAGAUUCAAGGUGGGCUUUAUUAUCUUCAAGCAUGUGGUCUAUUAAGCAAAAUAAGAUGUUCAGCAAAAGACUAUGAUAAAUCAGUUUCUCUUUAUUGAAGAAGCUACUUUGACAUUUCCAUUCCAGCUCAGUCUAAGUCUGCAUGACAAACAACUGUUUCUUGCUAACUUCUGUAUUAAUGUUUAAACUCUCUUUGGUAAUCAGGACUUUUAAACAUUUUUUAUAAUGAUUUGGAUAGAAAUAGUCAAAUUUAUAAUUACAUUUGUGACAGAAAGGUGAACCUUCUAAUAGUAGUAUUUUUAAACAUAUCUCUAUCCUGAAGCAAAAAGAACAACCUGGCAUCCUUUGCCUUAUCAUCUUCUAUUCUAUAAAAUAUGAAAAUGGGAUAAAAGUGAAGUAUACACUGUGUUUUUACCCUACGCUUGAAUUAAGAAUUGCUUUCUUUCCUUCAUAUUAGAGUAAGUUAAAAUUAGAACACUUUUUAUUUAAAUUGUCAGGUAAAAUGUGUUGCUUUCAAAAUAUGCUUUCUUUUUAGUAAAAUAAAGAUCCACCUUUCUUUCUUAUAUUAAAAUGCAAAGAAAUGUAUAUUUUAGAGUAACAUAUGCAUUUAUUAUUUGCAGGGGUCAUACAGAAUAGAGGUAGGCUACCAGAGUGCUUCUCCAGAGCUGAUCAAGCACGUUAGCAUUUGUAAAGUUCUUUUUUUUGGAUCAGGAGAACCAAAAAGACAUACUUCCAAAAUUAAAAUGUAAUCAUAUGCUCAAAACUAAAAUGAAUUAAUGAGUUAAGUUUUACAAUACCUGUUGGAAACACUUUCCACAAGACUUUUGUGAUCUUUUAUUUGAUGGGCCAUGAGCUACCAGAAAUGAGUAUGUUUUUAGAUUCCUGGACUGCCAUGCUUCAAAUAUAUUGAUGUAUCUUACUUUACAUCUCUUUCUCUAAGAGGAUUAUUCAGUUACCACUUUUGAGCUUAAAAAAAAUAGACUUUAAUGUUGUAUUCCAGAUAAAUUCUUUUAAAAUUCUGGUAUCAACUUUUAAAAUACUAUCGUCUGAAUUAUCCACUGGAUUGUUUUCCCUGGAGGCUCACUUUAGAGAUGAU
rnacentral:lncRNA from 1 species